AACGAACGCUGGCGGCAGGCCUAACACAUGCAAGUCGAACGCCCUAGCAAUAGGGAGUGGCAGACGGGUGAGUAACGCGUGGGAACGUGCCUUUCGGUUCGGAAUAACUCAGGGAAACUUGAGCUAAUACCGGAUACGCCCUUCGGGGGAAAGAUUUAUUGCCGAAAGAUCGGCCCGCGUCCGAUUAGCUAGUUGGUGAGGUAAAGGCUCACCAAGGCGACGAUCGGUAGCUGGUCUGAGAGGAUGAUCAGCCACACCGGGACUGAGACACGGCCCAGACUCCUACGGGAGGCAGCAGUGGGGAAUAUUGGACAAUGGGCGCAAGCCUGAUCCAGCCAUGCCGCGUGAGUGAUGAAGGCCCUAGGGUUGUAAAGCUCUUUCGCCAGGGACGAUAAUGACGGUACCUGGAUGAGAAGCCCCGGCUAACUUCGUGCCAGCCGCCGCAGUAA
rnacentral:rRNA from 1 species